CCCAGCUAUCUACCGAACGGUCAUUUAUUAUAAUCCCACGAAUAAUGUUAAAGUUAUACAUUUUUAUGUUAAAACCCGGUUCUGCUGUACGGAGGGAUAAUCCACUUAACAGGAUAUUCUAGUGGGAGUAUCCCUCACGUACAGCAGUGCAUGGUGGGAGAAAUGCUCUGUAUAUUCAGUUCCCCAUGUAGUCCUCUACUGUAAUACCCCUGUAAAGUGACUAAGG